rnacentral:rRNA from 1 species
CAACUUGAGAGUUUGAUCCUGGCUCAGAACGAACGCUGGCGGCAGGCUUAACACAUGCAAGUCGAACGCCCCGCAAGGGGAGUGGCAGACGGGUGAGUAACGCGUGGGAACAUACCCUUUCCUGCGGAAUAGCUCCGGGAAACUGGAAUUAAUAC